rnacentral:rRNA from 1 species
GACGAACGCUGGCGGCGUGCUUAACACAUGCAAGUCGAACGGAAAGGCACUGAUAUUGUGGGGUGAUCGAGUGGCGAACGGGUGAGUAACACGUGAGUAACCUGCCCUUGACUUUGGGAUAACUUCAGGAAACUGGGGCUAAUACCGGAUAGGAGCUCCUGCUGCAUGGUGGGGGUUGGAAAGUUUCGGCGGUUGGGGAUGGACUCGCGGCUUAUCAGCUUGUUGGUGGGGUAGUGGCUUACCAAGGCUUUGACGGGUAGCCGGCCUGAGAGGGUGACCGGCCACAUUGGGACUGAGAUACGGCCCAGACUCCUACGGGAGGCAGCAGUGGGGAAUAUUGCACAAUGGGCGGAAGCCUGAUGCAGCAACGCCGCGUGCGGGAUGACGGCCUUCGGGUUGUAAACCGCUUUCGCCUGUGACGAAGCGUGAGUGACGGUAAUGGGUAAAGAAGCACCGGCUAACUACGUG